rnacentral:misc_RNA from 1 species
UAGUAAACAACAUAGCUGAUUACAUGUGAGGAUUAUGAAUAUGAGCGUCCACUCCACCAACUUUUCAUAGAUACCUUAAUGUAGAUAUUGUUUUAGAUUUAAUAAAAUGUAAAUCUAGAGGAUCUGGGUUUCUUAUUUAAUGUAAAGUUCCUCUACUUUGAUUUAUCAAUCAGUUACGGGUUUAUUAAUAGGCUGGACAAACUAUAUUUAGUUGUUUGUCAGUUUAG